CCUACGGGGGGCUGCAGUGGGGAAUAUUGGACAAUGGGGGGAACCCUGAUCCAGCCAUGCCGCGUGUGUGAAGAAGGCCCUCGGGUUGUAAAGCACUUUCAGUGAGGAAGAACGCCUGGUGGUUAAUACCCAUCAGGAAAGACAUCACUCACAGAAGAAGCACCGGCUAACUCCGUGCCAGCAGCCGCGGUAAUACGGAGGGUGCGAGCGUUAAUCGGAAUUACUGGGCGUAAAGCGCGCGUAGGUGGCUUGAUAAGCCGGUUGUGAAAGCCCCGGGCUCAACCUGGGAACGGCAUCCGGAACUGUCAAGCUAGAGCGCAGGAGAGGAAGGUAGAAUUCCCGGUGUAGCGGUGAAAUGCGUAGAGAUCGGGAGGAAUACCAGUGGCGAAGGCGGCCUUCUGGACUGACACUGACACGGAGGUGCGAAGGCGUGGGUAGCAAACAGGAUUAGAGACCCUAGGAGUC
rnacentral:rRNA from 1 species